UAUAUAUAUAUAUAAACAGCUUCAAUUGUAUACUUCUUGUCUAGAAUAUAUGUUUCCACAAAGAAAAGGUGAAUAGAAAGCGCCUGUGUUACUUGAGUGAGCGGGUGUUCACAAUAUUUGAACUGAUCCCUACGAGUGCUCUUCACACGCAGGAGCUGCAGAGGGAGGUGUAUUUAAUGGUUAUGUAGGGAGCUGCAGAGGAAGGUUGUCUGUGUAUUGCUUGUAUUUAAAAGUUAUGUCCCACAGCAGCUCAAGUGGGUGAAGCAGAUCGUUUUCAUCAAGUCAGUUGUAAGUGUAAUUAAAUGUAAAUGCAUUAUAAUAUCCUGUCAUAAAACAGGAUGCAGUAUGUCCUUUUGAUAAGUUAUGAAUGUGACAUUUUCCAAGCUUAAGAGCAUUAGAAUAAAUCUACUUAAACGUUU